UCUACGCUACUUUAGCAAUCAGGAUCCGGCUUGCAUUUCUCUUUCUUAUACUCAGUCAUACACACCAAUCUUGUCAUAUUGGACUCCAAGAACCCUACUGAUAGUAUGAUUUUAGCUAAGAUCAAUUAUCCUUAAAUGUACUAUCAUGUCAUUUCAGUAUUUAAGGUGUCAAUCCAAAUGGGUGUGAUGCUAGCAAUCAAGAUGCAAUCAGAUAUCACAGAGUCAAGCCAAGCAAUAACAGGUUUUGGUGUUAUUAACAGCUCUAGCGAUCAUGCAGAUAACAUAAAUUCUAACUAUAACAGGCAAUAUACUCGAUCACACAGCUUGAUGCCAAGCACUGGAUGUGGUCGAGUAUCAGGUCGAGUAAUUUAACAGAAACUGUAAACAGGGUACUCGACUGCACAGUUUGUUACCAAACUACUGGGUGUGGUCGAGUACUUCAAAUGAAACAGGGUAGAAAUGAUAAAACUGAGCAACAAGUAACCAGAUCAAGCAAUUAAUAGCGAUGUAAACAAAGAAAUCAAAUGGAAGAGAAAUUCCUGAGGAUGGGGUAAUCGAGUAGUGAAGUCUCCUUAAUCUAACAGGUGGUUAACAUGCUCAACAAACUAUCCCUAGACAACAAGUUCAAUAGCCAAAUCAAAGUGCUACCGCAACAGAGAUCCUCAAGCAAAGCUAGUCCCAGACUCAAUCACCAUUGACGAGAGCUAACCUAACAGGCAUUACGAAACAACAAGUCUAAGCCAAAACGCUCCCUGUAACCAAUACCUUGGUACAGAGCCACGAAUCUCUGGAAUUAGUGGUUCAGACAUUUCAUCGAACACCUUUUGGGUGCGGAAAUGUCUGGGCUCAGAUUCCAGUUGAUCAGAAAGCAAUCAGCAUUAAGAACAACUAAUCCAGAAGGGAUCUACCAACCAAACUCAACCACCUAGCAGAUCAAGGAUUCUAAACUACUCUAACCCAUCCUCAAGAACCCUAAUCACUACUCAAAACUCAUGAACAUGAACAUAAACCCAGAAAUGCAUAAAAACUUCAUACUAGCAAGAUCUCAACAAGAUGAACAACUUUGUAGAAGAAAUCAAAAGCAAAUACUCAAUAGAUUAAGAGAAAUCUGGAUUACAAAGAUGAAGAAACACUAAUUGUUCUGCAGAAAAAUAACUUAGACAGAAUAAAACUUAGUCUCAAAAUUAUGAGAAACAACCUAUUUAUAGCAAAUACUAGGAAACCCUAAAUCACAAGACGACAAAGUAUUAAGGCGGUUUACGGAGAUACUCGACCCUUGUGAUCGAGUAGAGAGGUUGAAUAAAGUUGGCGCCUUUGCGGUUUCUUGAUCUGGUCGUGAUGCGAUCGAGUGACUAGGUCGAGUAUGCACUCGAGUAGUGCUUCAUCCUCUUCUCUUCCUUAUGCUCAGUGUCUGGUUGAGUUGGGAUCUGAGACGACUUUGAAGCUUGUGAUUAAGUGGCUGUGGGGAGUGGAGAUCGAGCAUCCAGUCGAGUGGCUGAAGAAGAUGGUGCUCGACCACGAGGUCGAGUGGUAGGUCGAGUUGGUGAAGGAGAGGGUACUCGACCACGAGGUCGAGUGGUCAGUCGAGUGGUCAUCUGAAGAGUCUGCUGGUGAUGCUCGACCGCGCAAUCCACUUGGUGAUGAGGAGAUGUGGUCGAGUGAUCUUGAGAGGCUGGCUGCUGAGAGUGCUCGACUGUGCAGGUCGAGUGAUACUGUUGGUUUUGCUCUGCUUCUCCCAAUCUGCUCGCCAACAGCUCCAAAUCACCUGAAAACACUCAAAUAUGCAACAUGCAUGCAAAUCUAUCCUAAACAUGUAAAGUGAUGACAAGUGAUGAGAAAUGGUAUGAAACAAUGACAAAAUGAUGAUAAAGUGAUGCUAAAUGGAUGCUUAAAACAUGUGAAAUAUACACAUAUCAACUCCCCCAAACUUAUUCUUUGCUUGCCCUCAAGCAAACAAUUAAGAACAAGCUGGAGGAGAAGUUUGAAAGCGGGGACUCAGAACCAAAGCGUGCAGACAAAGCAAAUGAACUCAAUGUCCAAGUUAGUAAUUGUGGAAUGCUUAGAGACCAAACUCUACUUAAAAACCUUAGCCAUAUUCAUCACAAGACAACCUAACAUUUGUUCCAAUCUACACACACCUUCAGAUCAUCAAUUCCCUUUAACAUUCAUUAAGCUCAAACCAUGAAUCAAGCAAAACAUUGUUGAAGAACUCAUUUGGUUUAAAGGACAAGGCUGAGAAACAAAGAUGGUUCCUCUGUAAAUGGUUUCAGACUUUUUCACAGUAACAGGGAACUCUCAUGAAUGGACAGAGCUUUAGUAGAAUGCUAAAGGUUAGAACCAACCUACGCAUACAAGAACAGACCCCAUCUACCCAAAUAACCAUAAGUAUAACAAACUCCAUAGAUGGUCCUAUCUCUAAACCCCAGAAAUGAUCCUAAUUCUACCCUUUUGCACUCAAGGCACGUUUCAAUAAUCUCUUGGAUCAACCCAUUCUUUGUUUUUGGUUUUUUUGUUCUAAGGAGAGGUUUUCUUUUAGACUUUCUAGCGGAUUGGGACUUUCUUUAACAACUAAGGCUCUUCUUCUCAUCUCAUGACUUAAGACAACUUUAGGCUUUUGCCUUUCUUUUUACUUUGCAUAGAGCCUAACUUCUUUUAUUUUCAUGCUUCCCAAUUCCUUUACUAGACUAACAUGAUAUUCUUUUCUGUUUCACUUCCAUCUCCUAAGAACAAUAACACUUGUCUUUCUUUCUCAUUUUUAUUCUAAACACAUUCCCAAACCCAAAGUAAAACUCCCACCUAGUCCUAUCUAGCCCAAAAAGCGUGGACUAGAACUACAUGGGAUACCAUUCUUGUCGGUUCAUACCUAACACUUUCUACCAAGCUCAAUCCGAAAAUAGGCCUCACACACACACAAAUUUAUUCAGGGCUUGAAAGAAAGGUUAGGUUCAGGGUGGGGGAAACUGUUCCAAUGAUGGGAAUCAGCUACUUGGAUUAGCAAGAGUGGUAGAAGGUGAAAGAAAAUCCAAGUAUGUGUAUUGGUAGCCACAAGUUCAACAACAAUGCAAAAACAUGAUAAUUAUAAGUCAAGUUCAGGUUCUAAUAGAUAGGGAAAAGAAUCACAUCAAGCAUGCUUCAAUUAAAACAAGAGAGUCAAGUUGUGAAUUCCAAAUAUGGUGCAGUCUUUAUUCAAGUUCUAUCACAAGCAUUAAACAACUAAUAACGAGGGCAUUGAAUUCAUUCAGUAAAUGAGCAUGCUUACAAGGUUAUCUCAUUAUCAUCCCCUAUGCAAAUGCAACAAUCCUAUAUGAAACCUUCUAGACUCAAUCUUAAAAUGAAAAUGCAACUACAUGAACACUCUAUUUUUGUGAAACCAUUUUCAGAAAUUUUUCAAAUUUUUAGGGUUUUUUCAAUAACAUAGAUGAAUGCAGACAAUAUGUACAAUGCAAGAAAAAUUUGAAAACAAGAACAAAGCAAACACAUCAGAUACUUCCUGAGCCCUCCCCCAAACUUAAAUUACACAGUCCUCUGUGUAACAAAGAUUUGGAAGAGAGUACUCAGGACAAAUAAAUAAAGAAAGAAGACAUGAGAUGGUAUAAACAAUGGGGAAGUGGAGUUGUUACCUCAACUGAAGAAGGAGUUGAUGUUCUCAUCAAUGCUUGCUUGUGUAAACAUCAUACUCGACCAUGUUUCUUCAUCAGCAUGUGGCCUCGCAUGAUAGAGUGACAUGUUGAAACUUCAAAAAUCUUGAGACUAAAACCCCAUUGAUACUCGAUCACACAGCUUCACUUGCUCUUUGCCGGAUGUGGUCGAGUGUUCUGUUGCACACUCAGAGCCAGAAUCCACUUCACUCAGCUCAUGACACUUAUCUCCUGAAAACAUUACUAAAACGCAUUAAAAAUAACAAGGAAAAUAGAAAAUAUGUACAGGGAUAGACAUGGGACUUCCUCCCAAGUGAGCUUGUUUUAAGUCUCUAAGCUUGACUUCUCACACUCGUUAGGCUUAAGGUGGUUUGCAGAGGGGAAAUGAGGUCUCCUCUCCUUCUUCAGCAGAUGUAUCGUCAAACUCAACAUGCUCUCUUGAUAGGUCUGCAAUUGGAUACUCAGUGGCCAUAUCCUUGAAGAAAUCUUCUUUUUGAUCGAGAGGAUGGUCUUCUUCUCUAGACCAUUUCAAUGUGAAUUCACAUCCCGCCUUGCUGACCAGAGUAGUGGCUCCAUCAUUUUGGACGUCCUUGGUGUUGAGUGGCACUAGGUUGGCUUUUCCAUGGAGCUCCUUGAUUUGAUCCUUCAGCUCUCUCACAGUGUCUGUUAACUCCCUUAUGGCUUUGUCUUGCCAUUUUGACCUCUCCUUUAGCUCCAACCAAUCAUCAGAUGCCAGAGUGCUUGCUUUGAGCUGUUGUUCGAGUUGUUCGGUCGAGCAUGAGCUCUCAGGGCAAGUUGGAGUCUUCUUCGAAUUGUUGGUGGAAUCAGUUGGUCGAGCAUGUGUUGAACUUACUUCAUUUCCUCCCAUAAACUUUGUUUCGGACCCCAUCAGACCCUUGUAGACCUCUGAACCAACUGCUACCUUGUGUGAGUCUAAUGACUUCUCAGAACUCAAAGUUUCACUAGGGAGAUACCCAGCUUUACCACUCUUGGUCAAAACAGUUUUUAAGUAAUUUUCUUCAGCAAGUUCCUCUAGCAGUUCAUCAGCUAGCCGAUCCAUUUCCUCAAGUAAGAAGGUCUGUCCUCCUAUUGUUUGCUUCUUCAUACCAUCAUUGAUGUCAAACUUCAUUUUAAAAUCUUUCCCCAGAUUAAGAUCAAUCUUCCCUUGCUUAACAUCUAUGAUUGCUCCCGCUGUAGCCAAGAAGGGCCUUCCUAAGAUCAAGGGAUCUUUUGGUUCUUCAUCCAUGUCUAGCACUACGAAGUCUGUAGGCACCUCCACAUUUCCAAUCUUGAUAGGCAAAUCUUCUAAUAACCCAUGAGGUAGUCUAAUAGACCUAUCAGCCAAGAUCAAGGAGAUAUUGCAGUAUUUAUACUUGUUGAAACCCAACCUCUUAGCUACUGAGAGUGGCAUGAGACUUACUGAUGCUCCUAGGUCACAAAGACAUUUAUUGAAAGUCAAUGAACCUAGGGAGCAUGGUAGAGUAAAUGAACCAGGGUCUCCUUGCUUUUCUGGGACAACCUUCUUCUGUAUGAUGGCACUGCACUCAUGGCUCACAACUGUUGUUCUCUGAACCUCUUGAAUUCUCUCCCUGAUCAAUUCUUUCAGAAACUUGUGGGAAUCCGGAAUAAGCGCGAGAGCAUCAACAAGAGGUAUCCUGGCUUCAACGUUUUUGAUGUUCUCUGCAAACAUAGCUCUGUACUUAUCUGCCAACGCUUUCUUUUGUCUACCAGGAAAUGGAAGUGGGGGCUUGUAAGGAGGAGGAACAAAAACCUUCUCCUUGUUCUCAGCAGCAACUGGUUUUUCAGCAGGUACAGCCGCUACUCGAGUUGUUGAUCGAGUAUGUCCAUCGAGUACUUCAGCUGGUUUGUCAACUUGAUCUUCAUUGAGACUGAAAUCCUCCCCAUCUUGGUCUGCACUGUCCUCAGUGACUGGCUUGGGUCCCUCUCGGGUGGAUAACUCUCUUCCACUCCUUAGGGUGAUAGCAUGAACAUUAGCAUACUCCUUUGGAUUCUGAAUUGCUUUCCCUGCGAGUUGCCCUGGAGGUUUCGGAGCAGAAGUGGAUGCAGAUUGUCCCUCUAAGUAUCGGACCUUGGAGCUCAAUGCUUCCACCUUGACAUUCAGGUCAUUGUAGCUACAAUCUAGCUUAUGGUGUAAUUCAGCCAUCUGCUUAGCGAUCUCCAUUGAGCCAGAUGCUUGUCCUUGGAGAAGCUGUUGUAGCAUUUGCUUCAUGUCAGAGUCAGGAGCAGCAAGACCUUGAUGUUGCUGAGGUGCAAACCCAGGUGGUGGUUGCUGCUGGUAAUUCCCCUGAAAUUGUUGCUUCGGAACAAAACCUUGGUUGUAAGGAACAAAAGGUUUGUUCUGGUUCUGCUGUUGUUGUGGAGAAUACACUUGAUCCUGUGGAUUAGCAACGUUGGUGCUACGGUAAGAAAGGUUGGGGUUGUUAGUCUUGAAGUUGUUAUACCCUUUGUAGCCACCUUGAUUGUUGAUGUAGCUGACCUCUUCUAACUGGUUCCCCUCCCCAUCUUGGACUUGAUACUGCUCGUCAUCAAGUAGAAAGUGCACAUGCUUCUGCUGGCCAAGGAGAAGCCUAUCCAGUUUCUCAUUAAGAGCUUUCAUCUCUUUACUAUGCUUUGCAUCUGAAUCUCCAAUACCUCUGUUAGAGCGAUCAAAAUCCUCGUUAUAAUUACCAUCGGAUUGAGCUAAGUUCUCAAUUAAUUCCCAGCCUUCUUCAACAUCCUUAUUCAAGAAAUUCCCAUUAGAAGCAGUGUCCAGCAACAUUCUGAUCUUGGGCAAAACUCCCCUGUAGAGUGUGCUUAGUAGAGAAGCCUUCUUGAAACCAUGGUGUGGACACUGUAUAGUGUAGCCUUUGAAUCUCUCCCAGGCUUCACAAAUGGAUUCAGACUGCUUUUGGGUAAAACUGGAGAUUUCAUUCCUAAGCCUUGCAGUUCUUGAAUUUGAGAAGAACUUUGUUAAGAAAGCCUUCUUGCAAUCGUCCCAAGAUGUGAUGGAGCCAGCAGGUAACAUCUUUUCCCAUUGGUGUGCUUUGUCUCCCAGUGAGAAGGGAAACAGGCGCAGCUUGAAACUGUCCUCACUAACACCGUUUAUCUUGGUUAGGCUGCAGAGCCUGUCGAAGUUAUCCAAGUGGUCUAAGGGAUCUUCCAGAGGCAGACCAUGGAACUUGUUUCCUUGAAUCAUCGAGAUGAGACCACUUUUAAUCUCGAAGUUGUUGUUUUGGACAGCAGGAGGCACAAUUCCUUGCCUCUGAUGGUGGUUUCUUGGUGCAUCUCCAGCACCAAUGUUUGCAGGCAGAUUGUUGACAUCUUGUUCAUCAGCCAUUCUGAAAGGAUGGUUGUGUUCAAGGUCUGUAGUGUCUCUCCUUUCCCUUAGUUCUCUGUCAAUACGGUCAAUGUUAUCGUUGAAAAGGAGGUUCUGGUUGCCUUUUGAUCGAGUUUGCAUACAGCAGGGUUGUACCUGGAUCAAGAAGACAACAAGAAAAACACAAAGUUAGUAGCCUAAGUGAAAAUUGAAAUAGAACUUGAUCUAAGCAAGUCUGAAAUCUCAAAUGUAACAAACAAACACCCAAACGGCAACGGCGCCAAAUUGAUAGUAUGAUUUUAGCUAAGAUCAAUUAUCCUUAAAUGUACUAUCAUGUCAUUUCAGUAUUUAAGGUGUCAAUCCAAAUGGGUGUGAUGCUAGCAAUCAAGAUGCAAUCAGAUAUCACAGAGUCAAGCCAAGCAAUAACAGGUUUUGGUGUUGUUAACAGCUCUAGCGAUCAUGCAGAUAACAUAAAUUCUAACUAUAACAGGCAAUAUACUCGAUCACACAGCUUGAUGCCAAGCACUGGAUGGAGAUCGAGUAUCAGGUCGAGUAAUUUAACAGAAACUGUAAACAGGGUACUCGACUGCACAGUUUGUUACCAAACUACUGGGUGUGGUCGAGUACUUCAAAUGAAACAGGGUAGAAAUGAUAAAACUGAGCAACAAGUAACCAGAUCAAGCAAUUAAUAGCGAUGUAAACAAAGAAAUCAAAUGGAAGAGAAAUUCCUGAGGAUGGGGUAAUCGAGUAGUGAAGUCUCCUUAAUCUAACAGGUGGUUAACAUGCUCAACAAACUAUCCCUAGACAACAAGUUCAAUAGCCAAAUCAAAGUGCUACCGCAACAGAGAUCCUCAAGCAAAGCUAGUCCCAGACUCAAUCACCAUUGACGAGAGCUAACCUAACAGGCAUUACGAAACAACAAGUCUAAGCCAAAACGCUCCCUGUAACCAAUACCUUGGUACAGAGCCACGAAUCUCUGGAAUUAGUGGUUCAGACAUUUCAUCGAACACCUUUUGGGUGCGGAAAUGUCUGGGCUCAGAUUCCAGUUGAUCAGAAAGCAAUCAGCAUUAAGAACAACUAAUCCAGAAGGGAUCUACCAAUCAAACUCAACCACCUAGCAGAUCAAGGAUUCUAAACUACUCUAACCCAUCCUCAAGAACCCUAAUCACUACUCAAAACUCAUGAACAUGAACAUAAACCCAGAAAUGCAUAAAAACUUCAUACUAGCAAGAUCUCAACAAGAUGAACAACUUUGUAGAAGAAAUCAAAAGCAAAUACUCAAUAGAUUAAGAGAAAUCUGGAUUACAAAGAUGAAGAAACACUAAUUGUUCUGCAGAAAAUAACUUAGACAGAAUAAAACUUAGUCUCAAAAUUAUGAGAAACAACCUAUUUAUAGCAAAUACUAGGAAACCCUAAAUCACAAGACGACAAAGUAUUAAGGCGGUUUACGGAGAUACUCGACCCUUGUGAUCGAGUAGAGAGGUUGAAUAAAGUUGGCGCCUUUGCGAUUUCUUGCUCUGGGCAUGUCGUGAUCGAGCAUUUUGGUCGAGUAUGUGCUCGAGUUCUGCUUCAUCCUCUUCUCUUCCUUAUGCUCAAUGUCUGGUUGAGUUGGGAUCUGAGAAGACUGUGAAGCUUGUGAUCAAGUGGCUGCGGGGAGGUGGUGAUCGAGUAGAUUGGUUGGUGGCACGCUCUGGACUGCUUCUUCUUCCUUGCGAUCGAGUAUGUGGGUAGACUGUCAGGAUGGACUGCUCCUCUUCCUCUGUGAUCGAGUAGAACUGUGAACUGGCAGGAUGAACUGCCCUGUGAUCGAGCAGAACUGUGAAUUGGCAGGAUGGACUGCCCUGUGAUCGAGCAGAACUGUGAACUGGCAGGAUGGACUGCCCUGUGAUCGAGCAUGUUUUUCCUCUUUCUAAACACCAAUAGUCCCGAAGCACCUGAAACAACUCAAAUAUGCAACAUGCAUGCAAAACUAUCCUAAUCAUGCAAAGUGAUGACAAAUGAUGAAGAAUGGUAUGAAACAAUGACGAAAUGAUGAUAAAGUGAUGCUAAAUGGAUGCUCAAAACAAGUGAAAUAUAGACAUAUCACCUACACAUGCUUAUUAUGGUUUCCCCAAGUUUUUUAAGGGAGGACGAAGUCCCUAUGAGUUUUUUUUGUUUUCCAUCUACGCUACUUUAGCAAUCAGGAUCCGGGUUGCAUUUCUCUUUCUUAUGCUCAGUCAUACACACCAAUCUUAUCAUAUUGGACUCCAAGAACACUACACAAGCUUUUUAUGGCUUCCCCAAGUUUUGUAAGGGAGGACGAAGUCCCUAUGAGUUUUUUUGUUUUGCAUCUAUGC
rnacentral:lncRNA from 1 species